UACGAAGGGGGCUAGCGUUGCUCGGAAUCACUGGGCGUAAAGGGUGCGUAGGCGGGUCUUUAAGUCAGGGGUGAAAUCCUGGAGCUCAACUCCAGAACUGCCUUUGAUACUGAGGAUCUUGAGUUCGGGAGAGGUGAGUGGAACUGCGAGUGUAGAGGUGAAAUUCGUAGAUAUUCGCAAGAACACCUGUGGCGAAGGCGGCCGACUGGGCCGACCCUGACGCUGAGGCGCGAAGGCGUGGGGAGCGAACGGG
rnacentral:rRNA from 1 species